rnacentral:rRNA from 1 species
UGUGUAGGCGGUUGCUUAAGUUUGGUGUGAAAUCUCCCGGCUCAACUGGGAGGGUGCGCCGAAUACUGAGUGACUAGAGUGCGGGAGAGGAGAGUGGAAUUCCUGGUGUAGCGGUGAAAUGCGUAGAUAUCAGGAGGAACACCGGUGGUGUAGACGGCUCUCUGGACCGUAACUGACGCUGAGACACGAAAGCGUGGGUAGCAAACAGGAUUAGAUACCCUGGUAGUCCACGCCCUAAACGAUGCAUAUUUGGUGUGGGCAGUUCAGUCUGUCCGUGCCGGAGCUAACGCGUUAAAUAUGCCGCCUGGGGAAUACAGUCGCAAGGCUGAA